CUGCAGCCUAAGCAAAUGCCUGUGCAGAUCCUCAUAGUCUGGACUGUUCGAGAUAUCGGCUGGCUCAGAUAACCUGGCGCCUGAGCAGGGACCUGAGUACGGGGGAUAACGUGAAGGAGCCACGGUGGAAACUGUGGGACGCGCAUGGGAAGUAAGGUUUGCGAUGAGUCAAAGCCUCUACCGGGAGUCAGAACAAGUUAGAUAUGGGACAAAGAAAUAGUUGACUGUUGUUUGUGCAAAUGUUAAAGAAUAUGUUAAAAGCUUGAGGAGCUAAGGUUGGCCUCCACCAAAUAGAUCGUUUUUUAGAUUUUAUUGAAGAACUAUGCCCUUGGUUUCCUAAAGAAGGGACCUUAGAUGUAGAUAUAUGGAAAAGAGUAGGUGAAUGCAUUCAAACUUGCUAUGAGACCUCCGGUCCAAGCAAGGUGCCCAUAGAUGUAUAUAGCUUGUGGAUUCUCAUUAAGAAUAGUUUAGACCCCCGCCCUGAGGGGGCCAAAGAGAGCUCUCAUAUAGAACAGCCUGAAAGUAAAUUUCCCUCUGCGCUGCCGCUUUUGCUGGCGCCACCUGAAAUCCCUAAGCCUGAAACUUUAGAAGAAGAUGGCUCCCCCUUGGAUCCGGGGGGAAUGGAUGAGCUUGAGGAGGAAGAGGCCCGAUAUCACAAGGAUGACUUUAUGAAAGUUGUAGGGGUCGCACAGGAAAGUAAAUUAUAAAAAAGGAAAUGCAGCCACGGAGCCAGAGAAAA